UCGAAGGACGGUCAGGCUGACCGCCUCUAGAAUAUAGUCUGCCGUGGAUCGUCGGACCGUUCAGUCUUUUUGUUUCGUUCAGUACCAUCCGAUUCGUGUGAUCGACAGCAACGCUCAAUUUUUUUCUUUUUUUUCUAAUUCCUUGAAGUAACUCAAAAAAACACAAAUCAAAAUGGCUGAUGAUGAGGUGAGUUCAAAUAGUGUAUGCUUAAAAAAAAAGGCAACGUCGAACUAUGCACGUGGAACUGGGCACUGGCACUGGCACUGGCACUGGCACUGUGAGCUGGGCAACAUUUGAACUUGAGUUGAGAUACUAGUUGCGAGCCGGUUCCGAUUCCGAUAAUGCUGUUGACAGACACACAAAAUAAUGGAACAAUAACUGUCAA
rnacentral:sRNA from 1 species